CUAGCAGCCGUGCAACUAAUUCUGCAAUACCAGAGACUAGUAAGUUAACUGACUUUAGGAAGUGGAGGCAAAUGGAACGUUCUGCUGGUAAUCGUUACCUGCCAAAAUUUGAGUUUGAUCAUUAUCUGGAAGAAGAAGCUCAUCCUACAGUUGGUAAAUUUAACAUAUUAACUUGGUGGUCAGUUAAUGGUACAAGGUUCCCGACAAUCAGCAAAAUAGCACGCGAUGAUUUGGUUGUUCCAGCUACAACAGUAGCAUCAGAAUCUGCAUUUAGCGUAGGAAGAAGAGUGAUUGACGAAACACGCUCUUGUUUAGUUCCCGAAGCAGUGGGGGCACUGAUAACCACAGCUGAUUGGAUUCCGUCAAGGAAAAAUUCAACAGAAACAGAACCAUAACUUGAACAGCCAUGGAUCUGGCAAAAAGAACAGAAAAUGUUUUGCCACUAGCUUUGCUUCGUACCACAUCUGCUCAAGCUCAACAAUUGAAAGCUGAUUGCAUUCCAUUGCUUAUGUUUUAUAUUUCCUUUAAACUACUGUAACGUGACAAUGGAUUAAUAUGUGUACUAAUGUGUGUUUUUAUAUAACUUCGCUUUUUAGUUUUUAUUUUGUAAGAUUUCAA